UUCAGUUGUCCCCUUCCCAGCCCUCGUAGCAGAAUAGGGUCAUCUCUGCUCUUCCACAUCCCUCUAACACUUGGACAGACAACCUAUCUGUCAAUCAUCCAUCUUUUGUUUUCUUUUUCAGCAGGGUCUCCUGCUCUGACUCAGCUUUCAGCACAACUCUCAGGUCUUGAAAGAGAGGUCAGCAGCCGAAGAGUCUGCCAUGAAAGCUUGAGGACUGGAAUUCCGAUCCCCAGAGCCUACAAAGUGCCUGGUGGAUGUGGCUUUCCAUCUCUAAUUUCAGUCUGGGAAGGUGGAUACAGGAUCGCCAGAGGAAGCUGGCUCACAAGACAAGCCACCGUACCAGCAAGUUCCAGCGUCACUGAGAGACCCUGCCUCAAAGAACAAGGUGGAAGAGCUAGCAAGGAAGAUCCCCAACAUCAGCCUGGGGUUUCCACACACAUGCAUACACACACAACCCCACAUGUAUGAGCCCUCACAUGUGCAGGCAUGCACACUCACAUACAUGUGAACCACACGUAGAAAGAUGAAAAAUAGAUCCUUCAAACUUAAAA